AUUGAACGCUGGCGGCAUGCCUUACACAUGCAAGUCGAACGGUAACAGGUUAAGCUGACGAGUGGCGAACGGGUGAGUAAUGUAUCGGAACGUGCCCGGUCGUGGGGGAUAACUGCUCGAAAGAGCAGCUAAUACCGCAUACGACCUGAGGGUGAAAGCGGGGGAUCGCAAGACCUCGCGCGAUUGGAGCGGCCGAUAUCAGAUUAGGUAGUUGGUGAGGUAAAGGCUCACCAAGCCGACGAUCUGUAGCUGGUCUGAGAGGACGACCAGCCACACUGGGACUGAGACACGGCCCAGACUCCUACGGGAGGCAGCAGUGGGGAAUUUUGGACAAUGGGCGCAAGCCUGAUCCAGCCAUGCCGCGUGCGGGAAGAAGGCCUUCGGGUUGUAAACCGCUUUUGUCAGGGAAGAAAAGGUUCUGGCUAAUACCUGGGACUCAUGGCGGUACCUGAAGAAUAAGCACCGGCUAACUACGUG
rnacentral:rRNA from 1 species